GAACAUGAUUGUGAUCUGGCUGAGGUAUCUGUCACCCAUUGAUACCACUAAGCCAGAAAUGAUUAGUAGCGAUCUCUUUCAUCCCUCACAGUUCCAUGUGUAUUCCUCCUGAGGCAGGGUACCACCACUUCAGCCAAGGGGUACAUGAGAGCUGUAUCCUUCUGCUAGAAUCUCCAAACAAGUUCAUGGUCCAUUGAACAUCAGGGAAGCUGUCCUACCAAGUUUCUGAUUAAU
rnacentral:snRNA from 1 species